ensembl:snRNA U6 U6 spliceosomal RNA
GUGCUUGCUUCAGCAGCACACGUGCUAAGAUUGGAACAAAACAGAGAAGAUUAGCAUGGCCCCUGCACAAAAAUGACUUGCAAAAUUUGUAAAAGUUUCCUUGAGAG